UAUGAACUAUAUUUUAAACUUUGUCUUUCAGUAACAUGCUGUAUAUUGCUCAGUAUGUGAUUAUCAUUAGUAUCAUGUUGGACCCUUGUAUGUUCUUUCUUUUUUAAAUAGCACUUCAUUUUUUAAAAUAUUUUUUUAACCUUCAUCUAACAGGUGAUAUUUAAUUUAGAUUAAGACUCUCGUCAUAAGCACAUCAUGAACAUUAGUGGCACCAAGUUUUUUUUUCUUUUUGUAAACUUAGUGUUUUCAAAUUUUGCACAAGGUCAGGUGAAUGAUUCACCAAUCGAACACACGUACUCUCGGGAAUUUCCUGUUUUGUGCAAAGUCAGGUGAAGUUUUUAAGCAGGAGACUUUUCAGGGACUCAUUGCACAGAAGCAAAGAUUUUCAAACCACAAGGAUGAAGACACUUGCGGCUCUGAUUCUAGCGUUUUGCUGCUGCUCUUGCGAACCUCAAAUUUCUAAAGCAAAUGGUGAAGCCUAUCAGCACUCAACCAGCUGUGAUGUCUGCUCCCUCACUUCCAUAGCUCAAAACCUGGGAGCCAUGGGAGAGAAAAUCGCAUAUAUGGCAGACAAAAUAAGUUUCCUGGAGACCAAGCUGCAAAACACUGAAAAGGAAGUCCUGGAACUGCGUAACCUUACUGGUGGCAUUCCACGAGUAGCAUUUUCGGCAACUCUCAGGGAAUCUGGCACUGGAAACAUUGGACCUUUCACCACUGCUACCCCACUUAAGUAUAAGAAGGUUUUCUCAAACACUGGCAGCUGCUACAAUCCC